CGCAGCCGCGUCAAAUUCAGCGCUACCCCUCCGGUGGUCCCCGCUGGCCCAAUUGGCUGCCACAUUAAUUCUGUCGUCCAUGGGCCCCGCUUCCUGCGCGUGGAUUCCGGGGAUAAAGAUGUGCGACAGACAGGC